UCUUGUGUUAGUUUUCUUUUUGGUACAUUUGUUAAGUUUUCAAAUGGGCCUACCACUGCCACGUGUAUUAUAUUGGAGCUGGCAAAGGCCUGUGACAGAUCUCUCUCAAGCCUUUCAGGCCUUUCCUGCCUCAGAGAAUGGCUCCCACAUGU
ensembl:snoRNA